UGGUGGAGUCAUCUGUCUGGUUAAUUCCGAUAACGAACGAGACCUUAACCUACUAAAUAGGUCCGCCAGCCUCGGCUGGUGGGGCCUUCUUAGGGGGACUGUCUGUGUUUAACAGACGGAAGUUUGAGGCAAUAACA
rnacentral:rRNA from 1 species